AACACACAAAAAAAAAAAGUAUGUAUGAUGCUGCAACAAAAUAGUGAGCAAAACUCACUAACCUUGUGCUGACCAUUUCUUUAUUCACUUGGAAAAUCAUCAAGAUAGUGAAUGAAUUUUGCAGUUGUUUAAAAAGAAUUACAAAAUUGAAGAAUCAAAAUGUCAGAGAUGAAAGAGACCUCACUAGCCACCUAGUCGUACCUGAAAAUGAAUCUGCUCUCCACAUGCCCAGGAAGUGGUCAGCCAGUCUCUGCUCUCAGAAAUCAGGGGAAAUAAACCAACAUGGUGUCAGAGAGCAGGAACUCAGGUCUUCCCAAGCAGAGCCCUGGAAGUCUUCUCCCAACAGCCUUUUGGUCAACAGUCAAUGGCAUGAACUGAUGACUACACAGAGGUGGUAGACCAAGGAAAUUUGGAGGAUUCCUCAUUCAGCGCAGAAAAAGGAUCCCAGAGCAGAGAAUACUCCACGGAAUUGGAACAGUGCUGUCAGGCUUAUGAAAAUAAAUUCCCCUGGAAACCUGGCCGAACACCUGGAUUAGCACCAGGGUCACCAAGGGAAAAGGCUGGAGAGGAAAGAACAUACAUGAGUUGGACAGAAGGGGUAACCUGGACAAAGUGGGGCUAAGUAACUAUGAAAUACAUAAAAGAGCACAUCAGUCUUUGUAGACAGCUCUUUCUUCAGCUGAAGUGGUUCUCUUUACAUCUUUAGAAUUUUGUUCUUGAGAACAUCCCAUCCUUCUUGGGCUGACUGACCCUAUACCUUUUUGUCUAUUGGCUCUUCGCUAUCUGUUCUCUGAACCCCUUGAAAUUUGUUCUCUCCAAAUCUAGGAUGCCUACAAGGCUUUGCUUUUCUUCUCCAUCGCAAAGUUUAAGAGAGUGGUCACUCUCACCCAAAGUUCCCAUGAACCAGUUCUAUGCUAUUAACCAGAUCUUCCUUUCCGGUAAGAGUCAAAUUCAAAACAAAAUUCCCAUACAUUGGUUAUUCUACUUUUUAAAGGAUGAAAAUAUUAUUAAAGAAUGUCAGAAAUUACUAGCUGCUCUUCUUUUGACAGAGAAAGAGCGCCAGCAGAUGUCCAGAUAAUUGAAGCCCACAUCCAUCACUACUAUAUCAUUCCAGGAUUAUAAUAUGGCAACCAUAUGUGCUAGGUAUAGGGACAAUCUACUUUGGGCUGCAGACUCUAAGGCAGGUCUCUUUUUAUCAUUACCCAGAAAUCCUGAACAAAGCUUCAUACUCUGAAAAAAGCUAAACAAAAAUAACAUUUCCUUGAAGGGAUGGGGAAAAUCCAUAGCCACAUUCUGCAAGCAUAAGAUUACCUACAAGAAACUGAAGAUUCCUAUGGUUUGAGGUUGGAAAGGCAAAGAAGGUAAAUACAGGAUGAAUGAAUGGACUUAGUUUCUUAGAGACUAGAAAAAUCUCUAUUCUGCUCCUCACUAGUCCUACUAUCACACACAAGUCACUUCCUCAGUCUGGGCCUCAAUUCUCUUAUCUGUAAAAGGAGAGGUUGGACUAGAUGAUCCUUCAGGCCCUUCCACUAAAAAAUCUAUGAUCCUAUAGAUAGAUGUCUAGAUCAAUAUAGUUCGAAGAAGUCAUCGUUAUGAUGAUGUCAGAGGGACAAGGAAAGAGAAAAAGGAGCAAUAAAAAAGAAUGGAAGAAACAAAUGAGACCAAGGCUGAAGGAAAGCCUGCGUGGCUCUCCCUGGAACAUUGGUUUUCAGCAGCAAUCCCGUCCUGGCUAAAUCAUCUCUAUGGUUUUCAGGGCUUUGGAGAGAAUCCUGCUUCUCUUCCCCAAGGAUGAAUAGUGGAAAGCAAUUCUGGAGUGAUUGGUCCUCAGUGGUGGGCUCUUGGUUAUUGGAAAGAAGAGGCAAGGAUCCUGAAUCAUUGUCAAUUCUUUAAAUGGAACAAAUACAUCAGUAAAUAAAUUCGAAUUAAAACCCAAAUGUAUGCACAGGAGUACAGACACACAGAAAAAGGGAGAGACAGAGAUGGAAGGAAUUAUAUAUGUGCAUGUAUUAUACAUACGACACACAAACACACACAAAGAAAAAAAGAAACAGUGAUACAGAACUAACAGUGGAAUUACGCAAAUAAGGAAAAACCUCUUCUUUCUUCCCUUCAAAGAAUCAAAAAAAAAAAGGCCCACAUAAAUUCUCUGCAUUCUUCAGUAUUCUAAAAUGGUCAAACUUAGCUGACACCUCUGUCUGGGGCACCCUUUCCUCCAUGAUCCUACAGGCUCCAGGCAUGGCUGCUCCUCAUUGGGCUUCACCUCCAUCACAGCCCCACCUGCUCUGACGCUGACAUUUCUUCAUUAUUCCUCUGCUUCUCUGGGGACUCACGUAUUUUAAUCCUUCAUGCUACAGGAAUAAUCCAGGCCAUUGGCUGUGACAAAUUCUGGAAGGCAAGAGCAGGUGUUAGGAUUAGACUUUGUGGCAGAGUGGCUGCAGUGUGCCAGAACAGAGGAAAGCUUCCCACUCUCACUGAAGCCUGGUAAAAAAGAGAGGAGGAGAAGGAAAAGAAGAGAACUAGGAAGCAGAAAAUGUCAUCAUUGCAUUUGGCAAGCUGGAGAGAAGCUCGCUCAGAUUUCCACACUGAUGGUUUGGAAAGUGAGAGCCUUUGGGAUUUCCUGGAAUACAAACAGUUCUGAGGACUGACCUCUCAAAUAGUAUCUAAGUGUCCAGGAUCCCUGGCUGCCCUUCUAUCAAUGUUGAUUAAUAUGCUUAAAAUCCUUCUCACAUUCAUAGUUUAUGACCAUAAUUUCUCUCAAGCCUAAAUUCUCUAAAUGCCACGUAAACUCUACCAGAAGACUUUAUCCUUUUCAUUAAUUUUUAGAGUUUCUCUGGAUGAAUUUAUAUAGAAUAAGGUCUCUCCCCUAGCCAAAGCAUUAUGAUAUACCCCUCCAGUAUGAAUUCUGUGAUCAGAAGCAAAGGAUGACCUGCAAAGGCCUUCUGAAAUGAGGCCUCAUAUAACUCCUCUCCAGGAUGAAGACUCUUCUCUGAUGUUCAGUAAGCCCCAUGCUCUGGUGGGUCUUCGCACUUUUAUUAUGUUUUCUCUGUGGUAUGAAUUUUGUAAUAUUGAGGAAGAUGUAAGAUCUUGUGAAAGAUCUUCCCACAUGUGUAAAACUUCAGAGCAAAUAAACACAUUCUCAUUUUGGUUUUAA